UACCUUUCGUGGGAGUGGUCCUGG
rnacentral:piRNA from 1 species